GAAGGUGCUGAGCGGCGGACGGGUGAGUAACGCGUGGGUACCUGCCUCAUACAGGGGGAUAACAGUUAGAAAUGACUGCUAAUACCGCAUAAGACCGCAUGGUAAAAACUCCGGUGGUAUGAGAUGGACCCGCGUCUGAUUAGCUAGUUGGUAAGGUAACGGCUUACCAAGACGACGAUCAGUAGCCGACCUGAGAGGGUGACCGGCCACAUUGGGACUGAGACACGGCCCAAACUCCUACGGGAGGCAGCAGUGGGGAAUAUUGCACAAUGGGGGAAACCCUGAUGCAGCGACGCCGCGUGAGCGAAGAAGUAUUUCGGUAUGUAAAGCUCUAUCAGCAGGGAAGAAAAUGACGGUACCUGACUAAGAAGCACCGGCUAAAUACGUGCCAGCAGCCGCGGUAAUACGUAUGGUGCAAGCGUUAUCCGGAUUUACUGGGUGUAAAGGGAGCGUAGACGGAUGGGCAAGUCUGAUGUGAAAACCCGGGGCUCAACCCCGGGACUGCAUUGGAAACUGUUCAUCUAGAGUGCUGGAGAGGUAAGUGGAAUUCCUAGUGUAGCGGUGAAAUGCGUAGAUAUUAGGAGGAACACCAGUGGCGAAGGCGGCUUACUGGACAGUAACUGACGUUGAG
rnacentral:rRNA from 1 species